CGGGUCUCUGCCUCCAAGGCUGUGUCACGAUGUAAUAUAUCGUUCUUGGAUUAGCAUUGUUGCCUCACAGCAAGAAGGUCCUGGUUUCGAGACCCGGCUGCGAGGAGUGAGACAGUGACCCAGAAGAGGUCCUGGUGGUUAUUUUCUGAAAAACGAGCUGACUACAGACCUACUUUCGUGAGCAUCUAUUAGCGCUGCCCGCCUCUCUCCGUCUCUGACAGGCCACAGCAGGGGCGGCACAGCGGAGGCCAUUGACGUCAUCGGGGGGGUCAGCAUCACUCGCAGAUACCUGUCCUCUAACUGCUGACGGCACGUAUUAUUAUG
rnacentral:lncRNA from 1 species